GGAUAUCUUGUUCAUUCAUUCAUUCAUCAAAUAUGAAGGGCCAGGGUCCGUACCAAACACGGGCUAGAACGAUGAGCAAAAAUGCAAUCCCUGCCCUUUUGGAGGUUACAGUUUGGAGGCGAGUUUUAGAGAUGACACUCCACUUCAAAGAGAUGGGUGGGGAAAUUGUGCAUCAUGGCUCUCUAAUACCUGUACACGGGGCGAAAAUCACCAGGCCAAAGCAAAGCUCAGGACGCGUGUAAGUAGGAGGGAGCUGGUUGGUUACCUACUCAGGAGCUUAGAGCGGAAGAAUUAGACUUCACAUUAUCUCACGGGACAUUCGGAAACCACACUUCACCAAAGGUGGGGAACCGCUCUCUACUGUAAGUUGACUGGGUUGGAUGAUCGGGUUGAAUUAAGCCUGGAGCUUAAGGAAGACUUUUCUUCUCUGUGUGUCUGGGAGGGUACAAGCUGUCUAGAUAGCUAAUAAACGAUCCCUGUUUUCUUAUGUGAGGACAGCCGGAACAGUAUUUGUUGAAUGAGUGAAUUAAUAAUAAUGCUGAUGAAUGUUAAUGUAUAAUAGAGGGAAUGGGAGACUUCAAGAUUUUGAGAGAAGUGCACCCAGAGAAGAACCAAGGCUAGCUCUCUCCCUUUCCAGGCUGAUCUGCUUCCUGACUUGAACCAAUCCCCAGUUCCUAGGACUGUAAGAACUUGAAGGAGAUCAGAGCUAGGGUUAUUGAUUUAAGAUUUUUUGUUGGUCUUGAGAUAUAGCUAGCAUUAAGGGCAGUGACAUUUAUCCUUCUAGGUGAUGUAGCCCAAGAUUAAGAAAAGCAAAGAAGAAAAAAAUUCUCUAUUCUCAAGGAAUAGAGAGUUUGUUGUUUUCAUCAGUAGCUUGAAACUCUGCAUUUGCUCCAUCCUUAGCACCUCCUCUUUGGAGUCUAAGAGAAUACCCAAGAAGGUAAAGAUAAGUCUACAGUCUGGAAACUGGAGGAGGGCUACACUUACCCAAACCAGUUGAAGGUGGACGUAAAAUACGUAUACUCUGCUGAAUAUUGCCUGUAGAUCAUACUUUUGUGAGAAAUGAAACUUUUUGUUGGUGAAAACUAUCUUCUCAUUUUCUUUUUAGACUCAUUCUAAAGAGGAUUGGUAAAGUUGUAUAAAAUAUGGAAGAAAAGGGAGGAUGAUAUAAGAUCAAUGUUGGAGUGAAAUGGCUCUUGAAUGAGAAAAUUUAUGUUCUCCAUGGUGUAUGUAACUCUGUCCAAAGAAUUUAUUCCAGGAAUCUCAUCUUAGCUUUUCUAUUCCUGCACUUAAGCGAGAUAAAGGCAUUGAUAUUAUUGUCUUGAGUUGCCAGGAACCCUGAGCACUUUAGAAAGUGGAAUUAGUCCGUUGCAUGCAUGGGCCAAUGCUGAGGCUGGAACUGGCUGCAGUACUAGAAUGUCAUCCAGACAGGUUCAGGUAAAGCUCCAAGAAUGUCGUUGAUACUGGGUAACACUUCAGGAAGGUAGAAGCUGAGUCAUCAAAUCUCAGUUUGGUUUAGAAGGUUCAGUUAUUUCACAAAGUGCUAUAGGUAUUUCUUGAAUUGCGUGGCCUUUUCUUUUUUUUCUUCUUCAAAAUAUCCUGAAUGAUGACUUGUUGUUUAGGGUUUACAUCCCCGGAAGUAAUGCCGCCUUCUGAGUCGCUGCUGUCAAUUCGCAGGGUCCCUGACAAUUGUUUCUCUCAUCUGGGAUGUGCCUAUUUUAGAUCUUUGCAGCCGAAAAGUCAUUAUGACAGAGGAGCACUUGAGAGGAAGAGGGAGAAAAGGCAAAUAGAUGUCCUUGGGGUGUAAGUGGAAUCAUGCCAUAGCAGCAGAGGUGGAGUUCAAAUGGUAAAUCUGUCAGUUCAUCUAUAGGGGUUUUUUGACCACUUAAUAAGUGCUUGACACUGUGCUGGAUACUUUGAGGGAUACAGGAGAAACAUGAAACAUGACUUCUGUGCUUAAGGAGCCUAUAAUACGUUCGGAGCAUCACAUUUUUCUCAUAUGAAAGAGAAAGAAAACUUUAGACGUUUACCGUUAAGUGCUGGGCUGUGAAGCACUGGUGGUAGGUUGUGCCAUUUGGCUUAGAAAAGGCAAAGUCAGUGUGAGCUCUUACAGUCGGAGUAUAAUUCAGGACAAACAACCCAAGAGAGAGCUGAGGUAACAUUUAGAUGGAGAAGUGGGCAUUUCUGACAGGAGAAACAGCACAGAGGGCCACAUCAGAAUGGUAUAUGUGUAUGUGAGGCCUGAGGAAAUCACUUCAUUCCACUUCAUUUUUCUUCAAAUCACGUGGCACCACUCCACAUGUUAUGUGUUUAUUUGUUUAUCCUCUGUCUUCUGCACUGGGUCACAGUGGUCAGCUAUGUAAGGGAUAGAUAGGGCAGGAUUUCAGAUCUAGAUUCCUUUCUGCAGUUAGGUGUUUGGAGAAAGGAAAAGGAAAUUAAAUCAGUUCAUGAAAAAAGAUUUUUCAAAGGCCUACUCUGUGCUUGGCACCGUUCCAGGUAUCAGAGAUAAAGAGAUGAUCAAGAUCCCUGCUCUCGUGUAACAUAUGUUCUCUUGGGGGGAGGCAGACAAUAAACCAGACAGUCAGGAAAUAUAUAAUUUUAGGUAGUGAAAAUGCUAUGAAGAAAAAUAAAUCAGGAUAAGGGGAAAGAGAAUGCUGGUUUGUAAGGUUAAGAGUAAGGAUAAGAUAAAGAUUUUAGAUUGGCCCUGAACUUCCCUAGAGAAGCCUGGUUACCACUGAAUCACCACUACAGUCUGUGCUGAUGGAGUCCAGCUUUAUUAUUCACAUUCAUGUCAUCCGUCGGCCCCACUCCACAGUGUAUAUAUGGUGGACGUUCAGCAAGCAUUUCAUAGUAGUAAUAAGAAUGGCCUUGCUAGACUUGAAUUGGACCACAAUUUUCUCCUUACUUUUUACUUUUUUAUAAUUUUUCUAUUCAUUUAAAAGAUAUCGUCCUAAAACAUUUAUGGAAGGAGAGAGGGAAGAAUCCCACAGGAAAGGACAUGUAGGUAUUGACAACAGUAACAGUUACCUAUACAUGAGCUCUGUGGAGGACAAGAUUGAGCGCACCUGCAUCAAAAUUUUGUCACAUGAAAGAGAAAAAAAAUAUUAAACCAUUUGUAAUGAUGUGGCUUUGAGAUGUCUCGUGGCCUGGAGAACCACUGUGUCUAAAUAUAUUAACCGAAUGCCAAAGGAGGUAAUAAUACAUCCAUGUGUACAUAAAGGCAUAUAAGACAUAAAAUAGCGACAAUGUACUGAGCAAUUACUCUGUGCCAGGCAUUGUGCACUGCACUUUGUUUAUAUUAUCUCUAUUCACUGAAACAAUCUUAGGAGGGAGAUAUCCCGGUUUACCAAUGAGAAAACAGAGAUGAAGUGGCUCGCCCAAGGCCAUUACAGUUAGUAAGUGGCAGAGCUGGGAUGGCAGAUUCCUUGUUUGUGAGAGGGCGUGGGGCAGACAAGUUUGGGUUUAAUUAAGGGCUCCCUUAAGUGCAUAUCUAGCCUGGAAUUGAUCCAGAGUGGGGUUUUCUGUCUUUCCAGCUCAUCACCCUGUCUAAGGGAUUCCAGAAGCUGGGAGUGUCUGGUACUGACUCUGAAUUUAUAUAUGUGAUUCCCUGCACCUACUGGAGGCAUAGACUCUGGUAGCACAGGGUGGGAGGUCGUGGUGGUGGUGGUGGUGAUGGUGGUGUGCAUUGAGCAUUUUAUCAUUAUUUCACAUGCCUGUAAAAGUGUAUAUAUGUGCGUCAAACAGCUACUCAGGCCGUUAAAACUUGGAAGUGCUUUGCUUUCCGCUGGGUGAUAGCAGCUCAGUUUGGUGCCAUCUGCCAACUCCUCUAAAGCUGACUUGAAACUCUGACUUGGGAUGAUGUGUAUCUGACUAAAAGAUGUGGGUAAUGAAUAUUUAGUGGAUGUGGUUGAUUCAGUAAACGUUCAAAGCAUAGAGAACCAAAAAUAAUUAAUUUAAAAUAGGUUUGAUGGUGAAAAGGUUGGGCAAUAAUGGAUGGCCUAGAGUGACAGUGAAGUUCUCAGUGGGUGUCUGUACCCCCCCCCUCCCCCCAUUGCUGGCCCCAGAGCCCACCCAUGUCUCUAGAGGGGCAGGCUGCUCUCACGGUGCCUCUUUGACCUAGAAACAAGGCCUUCGAGGCAUUGAGCUAUCUGAGCUAUCACAGGUUACAUACACAGCAGUUUUACAUGUGUUAUAUUCUCUCUCUCAAACUUUCUUUUUUUUUUUUUUGUGAGGAAGAUCAGCCCUGAGCUAACAUCCAUGCUAAUCCUCCUCUUUUUGCUGAGGAAGACUGGCUCUGAGCUAACAUCUAUUGCCAAUCCUCCUCCUUUUUUAUUCCGCCCCACCCCCCCAAAGCCCCAGUAGAUAGCUGUACGUCAUAGUUGCACGUCCUUCUGGUUGCUGUAUGUGGGACGCGGCCUCAGCAUGGCCGGAGAAGCGGUGCCUCGGUGCGCACCUGGGAUCCGAACCCGGGCCGCCAGUAGCGGAGUGUGCGCACUUAACUGCUAAGCCACGGGGCCGGCCCUCUCUCAAACUUUCUAUUACAGGAGAUUUCAAAUAGACAUGUGGACAGAAUGGUAUAAUAAGCCCCCGCAUGCCCAUCCCCCAACUUCAGCAUUUACCAACUCAUGGCCAACUUCUUUGUAUAUACCUUACCUCCAGAUGAUUUUGAAGCAAAUCCAGAAAUCAUAUCAGUAUUUGUUAGCAUUUCAGAAUGUAUUUCUAAAAGAUAAGGACUCUUUUAUUAUAAUGCUUUAAGCUUCACAGCAACCCUAUUAGUCAGGUACCAGUAUAUCUUUCUUUUAUAGAUGAAGACAGUGAGACACAAGAGAUUAAAUAUUUGCCCAAGGUCACCCAACUUGUAAGUGGCAGAGUUAGACUUCAAACCCAGUUGGCUAACUCCAGAGCCCGUCCUGUUAACCCCAUUUCUGUAUGGAAGCCACUAGACCUUUCUGCUGUAGCUAAUGCUAGCUACAUUAUGGAAUUGGAUCCUGGGAGUAGCAGAGCAAACUCCCAAGGACAUAACUAUUGAUGUCUGUGAGUUCAACCACUGGGCCAUUGCUGCACAUUUGGUCUGUUUACGUGCACAGGGACAGAAUGGCCAUGAAAGGCUUAGAAUUGUCAUCUCUGGGAAUGAAAGGACCAGCCUGAAAUAUUAGUGGAUCCUAUUUGGGCAGCAAAACUGAUAAAGCACCGUUAUCGUAAUAGUGUUUGAAACGUCAGAGAAACCCACAAUGAAAAGGACUUGACAGAAAAUAUCACUGUCAUUGGGCCAUGGCUGCCAAGGGAAGUACAAGGUUUCUUUUAAAAUGAAUUUUCCUUUGGUUUUCUGUCUUGGCAGAAGGAAUCACUGUCUUCCCACUGAGUGUUUUCAGUUUGUUUCUAGCACAGCUAAUUGUGUUUAUUUGUCUCCGGAAUCACAUGGCUGCCUCCUCUCCCUUGCCUUUUCUUAAGGUCUCUUGCCUGCUGUGUACUACGGUUACUGCCAAGAACGUUCUCCUCACCUGGGAGCCAGUUGGCUGACAACACAGAGUAGAUGUUGGGAGGCCAAUUCUGUCUCUCCGGAGAGCUGACCUGGCCCCUGGCAUCCCAGCCCACCUCAGGGGGAGGGAGAGAGAUUAUAUAAGCUGGUAUGAAAAGAACCAUGUUUGCCUUGUAUGCAUCCACUCGGUCCAUCAGUGUUAAGAACCAAGCAGAAAGCAAGUGAACUCUUGAUUGAUUGAUUAACAGAGCUUUGCGAGUUCAAAUUCAAGAAACUGAUUCUCUAUUUUUCCUAUAAAAACAAACAUCACAUGACUUUUCUGUUUAAUACUUUCCUUAUCUUUGGGAUCCCUGACAUUCCCUUGAUUCUCAAACCUCUGUUUCUUUUCCUUCCUCCUUCCCCACGCAGUCCCAUCACAGAAGCCAGGUAACUGUUAGAGAACCACCCAGCUCCUUAACCCUCUCACCCGUGGAGCACCAAAAGGUGGUACUUCUCAGGGUGCCGUUGAGGAAGAGCUUAGCAAUUCCACCUUAAGCUCCCACUAGGACAUGCCAGCGAGGACCUCAGCUGGUGUCUUUUUCAGGGAACAUGUAUUUUCUUUAAACAUUUGUUGUCACAAAUAUUUUGACAUAGUUUUUUAUGAUUGAUGCACUUCUGCUUUUAAAAACCCUCAAGUAAGGAAUGCAGUGAACUGCAAGUCACUUAGCUCUUCAUAGUAGAGACCCUCAGGGAUGGCACAUAUGUGCUCUGUGCCGCAGCUCCCUCCUGAGCCUGGUCUCCCUCAGGAGCUAGUGGCAGUCACUAUAAAUUGAUCACAGCACCUCCCUGGAAUGCCUCUCAAUACUGGACUCCAGGAAGCGUUAUCAACAGGGCUGGCACAGGGUUGAAAUCUAUUGGCCAUUUCCUGUGUACGUGGUCUUUAGAGCCCUUCCCACACUAAAAUCCCUGAGCCUUUCUGUGGGGGCGUCACGUGAGGUCACUAACAGCUAGAGGCCAGCGCUCCUCUUUCACCAAGAAUCAGAUCUAAGGGUGAGGAAAUUUUACCACGGGAGAAUGCUAAACCCUUUCUGGAAAGCAGAUGACAGGGGAAAAUGUUUUAAAUGCUGAUAGUUCAUGGAGGGUUUGGAGGUCGUGACUCUCUUCUCAACCCCUAGUGGGUCCUUCAGUGGUUUGUAGAUUUGUUAGUCAGUAAGACUAAUUGAAGUCAUUCUUUUUAUGGGAGAAACAGAAUGCUUAAUGCCCAAGGGGAAUGCAAAGGAAAUGGAAGCCCAGAGCCUGUCCUUAAGGAGUUCCUAAUCUGGUAUAGCAGUUGUAUUAUGUUGAAUUUAGAGUCAGUGUAGUUUAAUGAGAUGCAAGAGCAAGAAACUUAGUGCCUGGUUAUAAUUCACUCACUCUCAGUUGACUAACAAUUGUUUUUACUUUUGAAGAAAUUUGGAGGGUAUUAAGAUAAUGCCUGUGAAGCAAGAGGACUUCCCUGACAGAAGAUGUUUUAAGUAUUCAUGACCAUGUUAUAGAUAAUGUCCUGGGCUGUAGGAAUGGCUUAGGCCACUCUGUAGCCACCAGAAAUCAUGAACGUCUGACCAGCUGUGCAGGCAGAAGCUGUGCGGGCUGCUUGAGGCCUGGCUGUCUCCGGGAACAUGGACAGAAGAUACCGGCUGCCGUCUGGGCGGUGAAGAUCAGGCUGUGUGUGCACGAGUGUGGUUUUCUCUUGCUGGUUUAAUCAACAGUAUAUUCUUUUGCAAAAAAAAGUCAAACCAAGGCUCAUUUGGAAUGCUCUGCAUUAACAGCAAGGACCAACAGAGCCCGAGGUUCCUGGAUGCAGACCUACACACUGUUCAUCAAGCCAUGCUGUGGUGGUGUCCCACAUACAAAAUAGAAGAAGAGUGGCACAGAUGUCAGCUCAAGGCCAAUCUUCCCCACCAAAAAAAAAAAAAAAUCAGGUUAAAUUUAGAGCCACCCUCCCCUUAAGCAUGUACUCCUAUGUAGCAAUGCUUAUCUAAAAAUCACACUUAAGCUGAAAUCACUUCUGGUUUACGAUUAUUAUUUACUUUCUCCAUCUUUCUGGAUGUCAUAGAAAAAAAGGCCAGAAAACAUGGUUUGCUGUUGUGAUUUGGGAAUGUCCAAAAUAAUUGAAUUCUCCGGAGGGAAGAGUAGCCAGUGAGGCUGAAAUGGCCAGCUGGGGAAUAAUUGCGACUUUUCAGUAGAUACUACAGUCCUUUGUUGGAGGGAGCAUAUGAAACUGCCAGCACUGACCUUGAAUUUUCUGGUAACAAUAAGUGCUUGUCUCUUCCCAGGACCAUAUGAUCUGCAGGAAUAGCUUCUGGCUGGUACUGCAUCUUUU